CAGCAUUUUUCCAAGGGUUGUGGCUGGUUGUAGCCAUGGGAUGGAUCUCCAACUGCAUGUGAGAGCAACCUGGAGAGACUGACAGCUCGGGUCAAAGCCAAAACUCAAGGCAGCUGCCACUUGCCUUUCCUGUAUUA